rnacentral:lncRNA from 1 species
UCCACACUGAUGACUGUUUUCCUGUGUUGGUUCUCAAUGACUUGUACUUUAUGUUUGUAUACAGUUUGUAUACAGCUUUAUGUAUGUAGUUGGGCAUAAGUAGGAUCUUAUUCCAAUCUUAUCCAGAAUAAAUUAAAAUAGCAUGCUCAAUAUAAGCAAGGUUGUACCAUUUAUAUCCUCUGAAGAUGUUAUGUGUUUAAGUUUGGGGCCUGAGGGACCAUUUGUGACAUUUGGUCACUAAAUUCUCUUCCUGUGGCUUGUUAGUUGCCUUUUCUGUUGUUGUCAAAGAGAAUUCAGAUCUUUUGGGCAGCAGAGAGUUUGAGGGAUCAAAAGUAAAUUUCUAAUAGGAAAUAUUAUCUGCCCUGGGUAGCAACCUUCUGGAAUUUUUAACAUUAGCAAUUAAGUUCCUGAUCACUAACACAAGAUAUUUUAGAAAAGCUCUAUUUGUUUUUCUCCCAUCUCCUUUUGCAUGCUCUGCACGUCCUUCUAGAAGCUAAACUUGGUUCCUUGGGUGAUGAUGGAGAAGAUAUUCCUGCUUUCACAUGGUUACAGAUGAGUUUUUGAAUUCUGAAGUACAGAUAAUUUCUCUGUCAUUUAACUAAUAGAGUAACAAAAGGAUGACCAAAAAUUGACUCAAAGGCUGACAAUGUAAGACACUGUUGCUCAUCUGGACAGAGGGUUUGGGGCUGUGUUGUUCAUUGGAUGAGUUUUUCCUAUUGUUUUUCCUAUUGUUGGAUUAAACCUGGCUGAGAAAGAGGAACAUGAACAGUCUGGCUGGUGGGGACCAGUGCGGGAGGAGAACCAAGCAACCUGUUUUGAAAUAAGAGAAGAAGCUGUGGAGUACAUAGCCUGCCUCUUGUAGCACUUCCUUUUGUGGUGAGGUACCAUUUCUAAACAUACAACCUAAAUCUCUUCUGCUGCAAAUUAAGUUGAGUGACCUAGCAGACAGAGAACACAAUUCAUCAUUGUCUGCUCUGCAACAAGUUUUUGUAGGUGGGAAGAUCAUUAUCAUGUGUCUCCCAGUCUUCUCCUUUCAAAACUAGACAAACCCAAUUUGUCCUUUUUCAUACCUCACUCCAUUAUGAACCUGUGUGUUCGCUUCUGGGCUACGCCACGUCUUUCCUACAGCAGAGGUCCUUAGGCCAGACACUCUCUUCUAGAUAAACCCUCUCUUGCUGACAGCAACUCACAUACUGAGAGGAGCAUGGGCUUGCUCUCCUGCCCUGACCGACCUUUUAGAUGCAGCAUAGCUAAGGCUCUGCUUUGUCAGCCCUACAAAGGAAGAUGUAGGUAAAACAGAAGAGGUGCUUGUGUUUGCUGAGUUCCAGUGUGCCUGUCAGCUGAGGCUGAAGACUGCAGAGCUCAGCUGCAGGUCAGUUUGGGGUGAAGGUUGUUAUCAAAAAGACACGGGCAAUAGGAAGACAGUGAAAGGAUAUGAGAUGUAUUGUGUGCUUGGGUUGCUAAAAUGGGACCCAAAUGGGACCAUGAAUCAUUCAGCUGAUUCUUCUGCUGCAGGAUACUGUCUGGGUCAUAUCAGGUUCAGGGAACCUCUGGCUUUAUACCUGCACCCUAAGAGCAGUGUUCUUUUUACAUUCCUGUUGUGUUUUACAUGUAAAUUCUUUGAGAUGCUGAAGCUGUGUACCAGAGAUUGCUCCUCCUUGUAAGCUUUCGUGAUAAGGGGCAUUAAAUAGACUGCAAUGUGAUUGUUCCCACACUGGAAGUGGGAGGCUGUUAACUCUAUGAAGUGCUUUUCUUUUUUGUCUCAGGGAAUCAGCUAAUGUUUUAAGGUUAUACAUUUUCUCCAGCAUUUGAGCAAGUAGGUUCAUUAAGGGAAAUGAAGUUCUGGAAUUUCUGUUUUGUUUAAUUUGGCCCCGGGGAGAUACACAGCGCAGUGUGUUUUUUUUCCAUUUUGUGUAUAUAAAAUGAGAUAUGUCAUAAUAUGUUAAGACUGGGCUUUUAAAUUGUUGGAGAGCAGAUUAAUUUGAAGUGAAUAAGUUUAAAUAAUAUUAUCUUCAGCUCGAUAUUCAUGUGUACCCAGCCCAUCCAUUCCUCUUCAUUUAGUGUGUUGGCCCUUUCAUAAUUUGCUUUCUGAGGUUCUAAUAAAGUUUGCUUUUUCUUUAUCGUGGUAUCAAAUCAGGUAGGCUUGAUACGCACGCAUCAGAAGCAGCAAAAUGUUCUUUAGGAUUAUUUAAAAACUCAGAAAUCUUUGACCAACCUUUGCCGUUGCUCUGCUGAGAUAUUAUCUUCAUUCACAGCAAAACAGAACGUGGGUAAUCUUACACUUACGUCACAGCUUUCCAGGAGCCGGUCCCAAAUUCAAAACUGAAACAAUUCUCUGGGCUUUUCUUUUAGUUGUGAUCUGAAAUAAAAUAAUAAAAUGCAUAAUAUCUUUAUGCAAGUCACUUGCUUUUCCAUUAUCUGGAAGGAAAUAAUUCCCUGCCAUUUCCUUUGCUACUGAGCAGCCAUGUUGACAUAGCCGUAUCAGAAAGUUUGAAGGAGGGCUGUGUGUAGUAGCCGUUUUCUAUUCAAUGCUGCAUGCUAGCAACAAGAUAUUCUCUUGCUGGUAGCAGCUUCUGUUUAUUUUUUGCACCGGGAUGUUCCAGUUACCAAGUGUGAAUUAUACCGUGCUUUGUUUGAAAUCAAAUAGAAAUGGCAUUCACCCGCAGCGGUCUAGUUUUGUUCUCUCUCCCCACUCACCUGAGUGAUUGGGGCCCAUCCAGAGGAUGGCAGGGGACAGCAAGCAGGGGAGCUGUUAAAUCCAAACUGUCAUUCGCAUCCUUGUAAGUGCUCGAUUUUUAGCACUGUGAACAUGAGUUUCAGUGAAGAGCUUGGAUAGUGGUCAGGAUAGAGCUGGCUUUGUCACCAAAAUCCUGUCCAUUUUUAACCAAAUGAAGGUCAGAGGACUGUGGGACCAUAGGCUGAUAACAAUUGCAGGAUGGGUUCCUCCUCUGCUGCUUUUUUUCUGUUGCAGAAGAUUUCCUAUUUAAGCAUCUUAAGUAUGGCUUUUCUGAAUUGGAACACGAGGGGAAUUUCCUUCAGCCUUGUUUUCCCUUUUUCCUUUUGUUUGCUAGUGAGCAAAUGUGUAUUUUGACUCCUCUUGUCUGUACUAUAUUCCCCUGGUAAGAAAGAGGAAAAUUAAUUAGGUCAAGGGGGAAUGGUUUUAAACUGAGACAGGGGAGGUUUAGGUUAGAUAUUCGGAGGAAGUUUUUCACACAGAGAGUGGUGACGCACUGGAACAGGUUGCCCAAGGAGGUUGUGGAUGCCCCAUCCCUGGAGACAUUCAAGGCCAGGCUGGAUGUAGCUCUGGACAGCCUGGUCUGGUGGUUGGCGACCCUGCAUAUAGCAGGGGGUUGAAACUUGAUGAUCACUGUGGUUCUUUUCAACUCAGGCCAUUCUAUGAUUCUAAUUUUGGUGGGUUCUAUGCACAACCUGUCAGAGGAGGGUUUUCGUCCUCCUGUGUGGUUCCCAUGAAACCAGCUUCACUGGGCUUUCUGGGAGGACAUACAAAUUUUAUGUUCUUGAAUGCCAGAGUGAGAAGAAGUCAAACUGAAGUUUUAAGACAUUUCAAAAAUUAGCAGGGAAAAAAAAAAAAAAACAAUCCACAGAUUUCUAAGCUUCCUGCAGUAAUCAAAGGAGAUUCUGGCCACAAAAGAUGGAAAUGUUGUGUUUACUAAAGUUGUAUUUUUAAAAUAAUAAAUACAAUUUGGAUUCCUCCUUGUGCUUUUAUAGUAAUAUAUAGAAUUUAGACACGUCUUAGCACUUUCAGACUGAAACACUGAAUUAUUUUACACUUUAUGCCGUGCAGGUAAACGAUAUCCUUACAAUUUACUGUGAUGCAAAUUACGAACCCAGAGUUCAAAUGAAGUGUAGAUUAAAAAUAAAACCUAUCUCUCCUAAGUUUUCCUUGUGGUUGCUAAAACUAAAAUUUGCUGAGAGAAAAACAGUCAGGGCAAGGCAGCUGCUGGAGAGGGGGCACAGUGCUGCAUCUUGCUUCAUCAUGUCACUGCUUCCCUACCUUGGACUGGAACCAGGCUGAUGCCCUUCCGCACACAGCAUCUGCCUCUUUGGCACGGUUGCUGCAUGGAUGUCUCUGGAGUGGCUUCUCCAUCUAUCCCCGCCAUUAAAGCAUCUGGGUAAUCUUUUGUCAUUUUUGUGUCAUCGCCUCCCAAUUCAGAUGUCUAUAAAGACGUUUUGACCUGCUUG